rnacentral:misc_RNA from 1 species
GAAAUGCGAUAAGUAAUGUGAAUUGCAGAAUUCAGUGAAUCAUCGAAUCUUUGAACGCACAUUGCGCUCGCCAGUAUUCUGGCGAGCAUGCCUGUUCGAGCGUCAUUUCAACCAUCAAGCUCUGCUUGCGUUGGGGAUCCGCGGCUGCCCGCGGUCCCUCAAAAACAGUGGCGGGCUCACUAGUCACACCGAGCGUAGUAACUCUACAUCGCUAUGGUCGUGCGGCGGGUUCUUGCCGUAAAACCCCCAAUUUCUAAGGUUGACCUCGGAUCAGGUAGGAAUACCCGCUGAACUUAAGC